rnacentral:rRNA from 1 species
AUACGUAGGGUGCGAGCGUUGUCCGGAAUUACUGGGCGUAAAGAGCUCGUAGGUGGUUUGUCGCGUCGUCUGUGAAAUUCCGGGGCUUAACUCCGGGCGUGCAGGCGAUACGGGCAUAACUUGAGUACUGUAGGGGAGACUGGAAUUCCUGGUGUAGCGGUGAAAUGCGCAGAUAUCAGGAGGAACACCGGUGGCGAAGGCGGGUCUCUGGGCAGUAACUGACGCUGAGGAGCGAAAGCAUGGGUAGCGAACAGGAUUAGAUACCCUGGUAGUCCAGGCCGUAAACGGUGGGCGCUAGGUGUAGGGGUCUUCCACGACUUCUGUGCCGUAGCUAACGCAUUAAGCGCCCCGCCUGGGGAGUACGGCCGCAAGGCUAAAACUCAAAGGAAUUGACGGGG